AGUGCUAAAUACAUGUAUUAAUUUUCCAAAUAUUUUAAUCUUAUUACCUUUAUUGUUGUGUAGUUUUUUCAUUCCAAACAGUAAAAGCGACCCUGGAUUUGAUUAAAUGUGGGGCUGCUAAAGAAGCAGACCUUGAUUUGGUGUUGGUGGAGGUUAAUCUUAACAAUAUGGCACCAGACACUUCGGCAAACUCUGAUUGUUCCAUCACAUAUUGAAUGAACUUAAAGCCCCUCUUAUCGGUA
rnacentral:lncRNA from 7 species